GUGCUCCCGUCUCCACACCUCACACACACACACACCCUCGCCACUCUCCUUCCUAUCUUCACACACACACACACACAUGCACUGCCACCAUUACCACCACUCCUUGGUGACAGUGGGAUGAUUUGGGCUUGUGUGCAUGUGUGCGGCGAAUCACCGUGCUGUUUUUCUUCUGCCACCCGCACAUGUGCGCACACGCGCAUCUUGACACCUCUUUGUGUACGCGUCUGCAACGCCAUUACGCUUCGCGGUAAAGGGCCGCGAGAAAGGAAGUAACACUAAUAAAGAACGCCACCCGGCGCACGACCGCAUCCUUUAAGGCGCGGCCUCUCUCUUUAUCUCGCUGUCUACUCUCGCCCCCACGUGUCCUUGCUCAGCCAUUCCAGUCGGACAUCCCUCCAUUGCCACCGCCCCCCCCUCUCGCUACUUCCAUUCACUCACGAUAACCUCCCUCUCCUUCUCUUGCGCGCCGUCUUUGAGGGGGAGCGCCGUGCCUGCUCAAUAAUAGCCGAUUCGACUCGUUGUGGUUUCAUACACUGAUCUCUCCCCCCGUGCUGGACGACGCUACCCUUGACGCGCUCUCCUUUUCUGCACGCGUGUCUGCCGCUUUUGGAUGUGCAUUCGCCUAAGUGCUUCCCUCCCCCAAUCCGUCUCUCGCGUCUGCCCUCUUAUCUCUGGGUGCAUGUGCGCGCUUUACGCUGGCGCACGUGCUGUGACGGCUUCUGUUCAGUUUUUUCGGCGACAUCACGCACCAGACACAAACCCCCACCCCCGAAAGGAAGAAGGGAAACGGCUGCGCUUCGAACGAAGCGGGCACGUCUCACGCGUCCAUCUCUGUCCUUCGUCUGUCGCGUUUCGACGCUGGCUGGUGUCUGAGUGCGGGCGCCCAUCCAGGGCACACUUCAACUUGCUUUACAGCACCUGCCUUGGUCCGCGGCCGAGGCAACGAAAGGGCUGUUUCUCCUUGUUGCCACGACGGGUGAACGUCCGCGCGCAAUGCACAGCGGCACGACGGAGAAGGAAAUGCCGUCGCCAUGCCCGAACCACAUACACGAACGACGGGCCUGCGGGCCUCCUGUGUUGCAUGUGAACGUGCUUUACGGGCUGUCGAACGAGGAGACCGCCUCAAACUCGUUUCCGGCCUCCUUCGGUCGGACAACAUCAAGUGGGGUCGGCGCCCUCAACCGCGCCGGUCCUGUGAGCAGCCUGCCAGCGUCUGCGGCUGCGUCCGCCUCUCGGCGGGCACCAGAUGGCUCGUUGUCGCCGAUGUGCUCGGCCCUCAGCUUGAGCGCGAUGAGCGGCAGUGGUGCGGUGCAAUCCUCCACCUUGGCGAAGCCCGUCCUGGAUUUGUCGCAGGUACGCUGCAUCCCACUCGACCAGUGGGUACCGGAUGCACACGUGGUGAACUGCAUGGCACCGGGCUGCAGCAACAGCUUUUCUCUCUUUAACCGCAAGCAUCACUGCCGUAUGUGCGGGCGCGUCUUCUGCUCCUCGUGCUGCAACAACCUCGUGUACAUACCGGCCGCCGUUGUGAACAAGGCGAAUAGCUCGACCGAGGGUACGGCGGCGGGCAGCUAUUCGGCAACCGCCAACACGUCCGUGAGCUCCGUUGUUACUCCCGAGCCGCAGCAGUUUAACCGCGCGUGUGCGAACGACGGCAGUGCGUCGCCAAACGGGAUGCGGCGAGGACCACAGGCCCCCGCAGCGCAGGGACUCGAUGUGUCCCCUGCGUCCAGCGCUACACUGUUCCCCGGCCCUCUGCCUGUCUGCAGCGAUGGAAACGGUCACCUACCGUCUAACGCGCUCACCUCCCCGUCGGCGGUGACGGCGCUGCCGUCAUCACUGUCUCCGUCCACCCAAGCCGCGGUGCCAUGCCGUGUGUGUGCCAGCUGCUCCUACGAGGUCCAGCUGGUGGUGUCUACUCGGCAAGAAAACGGCGAGCCGCGCCGCCGCAGCCGCGGUGAGCUCAAGAUGAUCCAGCGCGUCCUCCUCGUCAACGUCAUGAGCUUCCUGACGCUGCGCGACUUGGCGAAUGUGUCGCUUGUCUCGGCGGACUUCUACUUCAUGUCCCGAGACAACAUCAUCUGGUACCAGUACAAUAUGACGCGGUGGGUUCAGGAGGCCGAGCUGCCGCGACUGUCGUCGCUCAACUCGCGUGCUGCGGCGUCUCGAAUGCAGCAGCAGCGAGGGCCCAGCUGGUACACCUAUUCCUCGGGCAGUGGGGCCCGCAGCUCCUUGAUAGACGACAUGUUCUCGAGUGCGCCGGUGAUUCAAGAUGCCACCACGCUCUCGGAGAGCGAGGCGGCUAAGCGCGUCAUCUCGUUGCAUGCGCGGUACAACUACACCCAGUUCCUUGACUUUGCGCGACGGCAGGAGAUGGCACGGUGUGAAGGACUGUCGUCUUUCUCGCUCGGUGCUCGCCUCUUGCUGUCGAGCCCUAUUCGCGUGGCGCUUGUGGGGCCGUGCGGUAUCGGCAAGACAGCCAGCGCUCACGCCUUCCUUGGCGAGAAGCCUUCACAGAUGGUGGUGCGGCCGACCAUUGGGUUUGAGCGGCGUGCCGUGACAGUGCGGCUGGCCCGCGGCCUCUUCGCGGAGGCCGUGCUGCACAUCUACGACCUCAGCGGCGCCGACCGCUACGGGGAGCUGCGCCGCUUCGUGUGUCGGCACUGCCAUGCGAUUGGUCUCUGCUAUGACCCGUCCCGAAAAGUGACGCUGGUGCAGGCGGCAGAUAUUAUGAUGGGGCUCGAGAGCGCUCUGGGCCCGCAGCCGGUAGUGAUCUGCGGACUGAUGCGACAGCCACAUUAUACCUCGAGCUCGAGCAGCGCACCCCUUCAUCACCACAGGGCAGGCCCCGCUCGCCUUCCCGCUGUGGUGUCUGCAGCAACUGCGUUGAACCUCUCAGCGCCCCCGAAGAAGGAGGACGAAUGCUCUCACUCGAUGCUGGUCGGCUCUGCUGAGGCUGAGGCUGCGGGUGGCGUUGCAGGCGAGUCGACGGGUGCCGCGCCAAUGUGCGGCGCUGCCAACGGUUGUAACACGCCACCUCAAGCCAGCAGCAGCCCUGCAGGUACCGCGGUCACGUUGCCCGGCGUUGUUGCAGAGAAUGGUGGUCACGAGAGCUGUGACGGACUGCAUGAUGACGCCGCGGUAUCGCCGAUUCCAUCACCUACGCCGCCGCCGUUCACCAUCGCCUCUCCGCAGAGUAGCGUGCUCGAAGUGUCGGUCGAGGACGCGGUGGGCAUUACCGUUCGAGGCCACUCAUCCAUCCAUUGUCCGCUGCUGCACCCCACCCCGUUGUUCGAGGCUCUUGUGCAGUCUGUGCUGGACCUUUUAGUGGAGGCGACGGUGGCCAGCACGAGCACCAUAUCGGAGAUCAGCGCGGGGCUCACGACGCAUGGCGGCGGCAGCGGCCCGCAAAGCUUUCCGACGUGUUGUCCGAGCUCUCUGAGCGCUGGCAGUGCGCCAGCGAGCGCGAUGCGAGUCGCUUCUACGCGCCGCCGUCCGCACGCAUCGCGGGCAAUUAUGGAGGACCUGCUGAACCUGACGAUGCAGCCCUGUGCACUGGACAUCUUGCUGGAUCGAAAGUAGACGGGCGCCGCGGAGAGUACCGCCGCAGACACGGGUCCUGCUCUGUUUCUCCUGCGCUUGCCGUUGGGUGCUGCAGAUGUAAAGAAUGCGCUCCUCGACAAGAGCGUGUUGCGCCUCACGUCGAGAAACAGUGCACUGCUCUAUCGAGGCUUGUGUGGUGAUGCUGUGCUCACGCUCACGCCUGCGAUUGCCUCGCUACUCUUUUGCCCCUUUUGCUCUCUGCGUCGGAUGUUGCGUGUAGGUCUGUGUGUCCGUACGUCGGCGCUUCGCCGUCCGCCUUUUCUGAUUUGGCGCAACUGGGCGGUAAUGGAGUGCUACGCUGCUGUCUCUCCUCUCUUGCCGUGCUCGUCUCUCGGCGUCUUGGUGCUCGCUGGGGUUUCUUCUGCUGCUGCUGCUGCUGCUCACUGUCCUGUGUGCGCUCACCCCUCUCACAUGUUCGGAUGUGCUUAUAGGCGUCUCUUGUCCCGGCUCAAGCAUCGAAGCGCUGCCGCAGCGUCUCCUGCCUCCUGCCUCUUCGCGUCCGAUCUUAAUACACCGUCACCUCAAACGUGCGCACCGACGCGCGACUAUUAGCGGGCGCUGCCCGCACCCACGAGACGCGGAAACACACUGCACUAUGCGGGUGCUUGUGAAGGACUCGGCCACCCUUAACGAAAGCAUGUCCUGUGCCCAUGAAAAGCUCCACGCUGCUCGCUCAUGGCGUCUGCCUGUGUGGGGUGAGACGGACGCGCAUCGCCUCAGUUCCUCCUUCGCCCUCGCUCUGUCUGCACCGCCAGCCUUGCGUGCCUGCCGCCAUGUCCAUGAAUGCCCUCGCUUUUUGUCUUGCGUUCUGCGGCACGUUGCCUAUCUCCCCCCCUCUUCACCUCUUCGUCUUUUCGCGCACAG
rnacentral:misc_RNA from 1 species